GCAGGGCAUGGUGCUGCAUGCCUGUAAUCCCAGCAGCUUGGGAGGCUGAGGCAGGAGGAUCACAAGUUCAAAGCUAGCCUCAGCAACUUAGUGAGACCUUGUCUCUA
rnacentral:sRNA from 1 species